GUUUUCUAGCGCUGCAGACAUGUAUCUUGUAUAUCUUAUCACAUCAGCUUAUACUCCACUUACCCCGUCGCUUGUCAACUUGACUUCUAUAUCCGUGCUUCUGGGGUAAACUUCAGUGUCCACUUUUUAGUUUUUGGUAGCUGCUGCUCAUUGCAAAAAUGUCACUUCACUGAGCCAAGCCUGGAGACGUCGGAACAGGAAGAGAUUUCUUAAAUGUGAGCUCUCAAAUGUUCCUGCCACUGAGCUUCGCCCCACCUUCAUGGACUGGAACCCUCUGAAACCGUAAGCCCAGGAUGUGGAGGUGGCUGUUAGCUCCAAAUUGCAGAUGAGACUCAGCAGUACCGUGUGGGACUAUGUUACCGGCUGACUAUGUCCGCUGUGUCUCUGUCUUUUACACUUGUGAAUAAUGUGCAGCCUGAAUUAACUGGCUGCUCCAUGACUUUUGCCCAGGGAAAGCAAUCAGAGAAGAAGGCAGAGAGUCAGCAGACAGGCCUUUCUGCCCAGGCUGGCUUCUGAUAAACGGAGGUCUCUGAGCAAAGCUGUUUUGUCAGGUGAAACUGCAUAAUGGGUCCUGAAUAUGGACCUCCCAACUCACUUCUAACCGAUGAACCUGAAACCAGAUCAGCAGAGGUGAAAGAUGCAGGCAUUAGCCCAGGGUUAAUGGUUUUUCAGAUGGCUGGUGCAGCUCCAUCUCUGCCUCUGCACGGAGAUGCUGGCAAUCACUGCUUUCUGUCUGUGGUUCAUGAGAUCCUAUGCAGGUAAAUGGUACACGCAGAUCACCUUCACCCAGGGCUUUUUUCUAAAGCUACCCACUGCAAAAUCAUUCCCUGGAGAGCCUCAGAUGGGAUGUUCUGGGAAACCUGAAGUUGAAAUUGUUCCACAGGAUCUCUUUGUGGGGGUGGAGAGCACCCACGGCGACAGUUGUGAAAUGAAGGGGGAGGGGGAGGUGUUUGUGCGUGGUUCUGUACGUACAAAGCUUUCACCAUCGCCGGCCCAAGCAUUCUCUCACAGAUGUAAUUUUAGAAGCAGUGUUGUGAGUGACACCCAGAAAGGUAGGAGGACUAUCCCUGAUGGAACUGUCAUUUUCUCCUGGAGAAAAUGGUUAUUAUCUGCUCUGUUUUAUGUAAAUGUAGCUCUCCCUUGUGAAUCACUCACCCGG